rnacentral:misc_RNA from 1 species
GAACAUUUCGAAGAGUUGAAGUUCUUAUUGGGAAGUGACUGCAGCCUUACGCAGCAAAAUUAUUAUAAGCCACAUUAUUAUCACAGGGGAAACUUUUAUGUGUCUUGUGAUGAUGAACGUGCUAUUGAUAUUGAAAAAUGUCCAAGAUGCCAAAACCUGAGGCUUGUCUAUGACUGCCCAGUGGAUGGUUGUCAGGGAAAAGAGCAUGCA